GAAAAACUUAAAUUCAGAGCUGAACAACAGUUAUGAUAAGUAACGAGCAAAGUAAGUAUAGGACAAAAAUAUAAGGUUGGUAUUGGAGAGAGUGGGAAGUGAAGGAGGCAGAGAUGAAACUGUGAAGGCUUUACAAAUGUCAACAUAUGGAUGUUAAAAAUGGCAUGUUGAAUCAGGUGUAUCUCUCUGAGGAAGGAAGCAAGUAUCUUGCAAGGUAGGUGUAAAUAUGCCUUGAUAAGGACCUGGGCUGGGGUCAUUAAGACCCUACCAGUCAUAGCACCACCAGUGGAGGUGGAAACAGAUCUGCCUGACAGUGGGAUUUCGUGAAGGUUUUCUGAGGUUUUUCUGGGAUUUCUGAGAGGUGAAGUGGGAGCGAUGGGAGUUUUGUCUCGAAACUCUGAAUGUUUUAACUGGGGGAACUUGAAGCAAGAAUUGGUAUGCUUGCAAGAUCUGUCUUGCAUUGAUAGAACUGUACCUCACACAGAAAAGAGCAGAUCAUCCCAAGGAUGGGCUGUAACUGUGAUGGCCUCAUGCUGAACCUUUACCAGUAUGGGUUUGCAGCCAUUAACCAGCAGGUAGGAGCCAGCCCCUGAUACUUGUGUGGUUCAUCUGCCAGUGCCUGUCAUCUCCCCUGGCUCACAUC
rnacentral:lncRNA from 1 species